GGGGCGUUAGCUUAGCUGGCCGAAAGCAUCUGAUUGUCGAUCAGAAGAUCGCGGGUUCAACUCCCGCACGCCUCGCCA
rnacentral:tRNA from 1 species